rnacentral:rRNA from 1 species
UGGGGAAUUUUGGACAAUGGGCGCAAGCCUGAUCCAGCAAUGCCGCGUGCAGGAAGAAGGCCUUCGGGUUGUAAACUGCUUUUGUCAGGGAAGAAAUCUUCUGGGCUAAUACCCCGGGAGGAUGACGGUACCUGAAGAAUAAGCACCGGCUAACUACGUGCCAGCAGCCGCGGUAAUACGUAGGGUGCGAGCGUUAAUCGGAAUUACUGGGCGUAAAGCGUGCGCAGGCGGCUUUGCAAGACAGAGGUGAAAUCCCCGGGCUCAACCUGGGAACUGCCUUUGUGACUGCAAGGCUAGAGUACGGCAGAGGGGGAUGGAAUUCCGCGUGUAGCAGUGAAAUGCGUAGAUAUGCGGAGGAACACCGAUGGCGAAGGCAAUCCCCUGGGCCUGUACUGACGCUCAUGCACGAAAGCGUGGGGAGCAAACAGG